ensembl:lncRNA
AGGCACAGCAAAGUUUUUGACAGCCUUGGUGAAAAGUAUGGAAGAUUGGUUAUUCAAGGUGCAAAAGCUGAAGCAAGGUUCUGGCAUGCACAAAGCUGAGCUGUGUGCAUUUUAUCAAAAGAUUCCUGUGUGGCUGUCCCAGGUGGAUGCAGUGAAGAGUUGUGUGGGCUCUGGGCAGUUGCAUGAAGCUGAGAGCAAUCAGAAAUCACAUUUCCCAUAAGGACAGAUGUGUUAAUUGUACCUAGACUGACCUUGCAUGCAGUGCUACUCAUAAGAAAAGAGAAAUGUCCUUAUUUGGAUGCCAGGGUGGGGACCCUGGCACAGGAAACUGUUAGGGGGCUAAACAUAAUCAGCUGAAGUGCUAAAGUGAUUGGUGACUGCCUUUCACUUGCUUUGAUUUGACAAUUAUCUGUGGAGUGGAAACAGUUGGUGGCUUUGGUAUCACUCCUGGAACAUCAUUGUCUCUCUCAGAACUGCCACCUGGUUUGGAAACCUUGAUAUUUGAAGAAAAAACAAAAUACGUGAUUCAUUUACAGUCAGAUUUGUGGGGGCAUAUUCCUCUUCAGGGUGCUCCAUUGUCUUUGGUAAAUAUCAUCGAGAAGUAAAUCAUUUGCAGAGCACAUGCAAAAUGUAUAUGUAAGAGAUUUACUUGAAAAUGCCAAGUUUGCUCACAACUAUAGCAUUAACAAAAGAAAGUGUGUCAUGUUUCCAGCAUAUGGUGUUUUCCUCAAGCUGGGAAGCAAAAGGUGUCUUUGAGAAAAGAUAUCCUUGGGUCUGGUGCACUAAAGGUCACUUUGUUUCUGGAUUUGUGUUUUUCAGGGUGGUACCUAAUGAUUUUUUUCAUAUGAUUCAGCAAUGGGUUCUGUCCAUGAAUAAUGAGACCGAGAAGAAUGUCACACAUGCAAAUGAAAAAGUGGCUGAACUGGACAGAAAACUGACCCUGUGGCUGGUGGAUUUGCUGAGACACAUGACAACAGAACGCUUGUCCCGUGAGUGUCCCCAGUGGCAGGAUUCAGGUACCGAGACGGACAAGGAGCCCAGGCUUCUGAGGGCUAGUAAGCUUCAGCAUGGAGCUGAAGAGUUGGUUGCAGAGAUGUGCAGACUUGCUGAUUCUGUGGACAGAGAAAGAGAGAUCCAUGCUCAAAAUGCAGAGGAGAGAUCUGAAGGUCGUGAAGAAAAGCUGGAAGAAGCUCUGCAGAGAAUCCAAGACCUAGAGAAAGAAUGUCUCCAAAAAGGCAUCUCAGAAGUUGAGGCCUGCUCAAGUCUCAAAGCUUCUACCUCUGGCCAGUUCAAGGGCUCCAGAAAAGAGCAACAGUAAAGAAUAGCAAAGCCCCAGUAGUUUCAUACUUCCUGUUCAUAGCAGUGGUUCACCCCCAGUCCACUGCUGUUACUCCUUACCUACUACCCCAGUACCUCAGUCCCAUCUCAGCAUUUACACUGUUCUUCUAGCUGGCUCUGCCAAUUCCACGUAUGCUUUGUUUGUCUUCUGCCUUGUCCCAAAGAUUAAUAUCUUUAUAGCUCAUCUUCCUUGUAAUACCAUUGCUACCUUGACUUUCUCUUACCCACAUCUCUCCUUGUGCACCCUCCUCCCCUCCCCUUGCUUUAUGCUUGCCUUCUGUUUGUGUUCAUCAAUCUCUUCUUGUUGCUGUAUCUCAUUCUGCCUCAUCCCUGUUGGAUUAUGCAAGUAAGUCAUUUGUACCUCUUUCAUAUCAAGGUUUCUCUUUUUUCUUAGUGUUAGCGUGGCCUGACUGUGGAGGUAUCAGAUACCUAUCUGAUAAUGGGUACCUCCUUCAUCCUAUAGGUUUCAGAUGAUUCAGUUACCAGCCGACUUGUUUUUUGCACAGAAUUGUACAAACAAUUGUACAGACACAAAUUUUUGUGUUUUUGAAUCUUCAUCUUGACAGUUUUGUCCUUUUUUUCAGAAAGCAUGCAGAAGCCUGAAGCUGUGCAUGAUCCUGAAAGCCUUUCUCAAAUUGCUGCCACAGGAGAACUGCCUGUAGCCAAAGUCACAAAAUCAGACUUCAGAUGAUGCCGCUCAGUGCACUGACAUGGCAUUUAAAUGCUCCAACUCUGUGAUUUCUGCUUGGCAUCUGAGGCCCCUGUCCCCAUCUGCAGUACCCCUACAGCUUUAACAGGCCAAACUGCCUAGUGAGGUGGCCACCCAGACUUCUGCCUCUGGUCCCCAACCUGGGACAGUUUGUACAGUUCUAAGGCUCUGCAAGGCCAACAGAGCUGCCUCAGUUCAGCAUGCAAUUUGACCCAGUCUCAGCUUCGAAGAUCAGGCAGUGAAACUGCCUGUAAUCACAUUGGCUCAGACAACCCCAGCCAACUCAGUGUAAAUUUCAUUUUAGGAACAUCAUAUAUCAUUAAUCCCAAAGUACAUUUUUAAAUGAUGUUUCUCUUCUGUGAGUUUUUGGAAUGUAAUAUCUCCUGAAGGUAAAAUGAGAAGUUUCUGCCAGCUCUAUAUGUAGAAGAGACAAUAUACUGCUGUAACAAAACAUGCUCUUUGGAACUGAGGAUGCUCUUGGCUAUGAUUUGUCUUGUCUUUAGCUACAGAAAAGUUACACGUUUGAAAAAGCUAUGCCUGUCUUCUGCAGAUAUGCAUGCAAACGGUAAUGUGUGUGCCCUGACAUAGUGCUGUGUGUCUCCUGACAGUCAUUUCUCAGGCUAAGUGUUGUUCCUUUGAGAUGUUAUCUGUAGAGGUGUUGGUCCUUGAUGUGCCAGAGAAUCUUGGUCUGGAUGGAUCUUACACAGGGUUAGAAAUGCAGCCAGACAAGCUCAUGAAAUCACUGAGAAGUUCACAGGUGGAUUUUUCCCACUUCUCAGCCACCCAUAAGGGGACUGGUUCCUGAGUGUCCUUGCUGUUGAAAAGGCCAGCAAAUACUUGUAGAGCGAGUAUUAUGACAGUACCAAGUGUUGAGAAGGGGAGUCCAGAGAGCUGAAGGGGAUGGUUAAAUACAGAAUAUGUGGUACUUCGCAGAAGUGGGAUCCUUGUCCUCCACAGCAGUAUUAAGUCAGUACCUACAGGCCAUCCUCAUAACAUAGGUGCAUUUACCACUGUAAAAAAUGAGUAAAAAUACAAGAGGAGUGACUGGCUGGGUAACUCCUGCUAGGCAUGUGCAUGAUGGCCAGCUACUCUGUGACCAAUUAAGAGAAGGGCCACGAAGUCCCCUAUCUUGGCCUCUACAGGCCACCAGCAGCAGAACAUUGAUCCUGGGAAUGGCUGUGCAGGGGAGGCAAAGAGAGAUGCUGCAGGUCAAGUAAAAGGGCAAGAGCAGAACUGACAUCCACCCAGAGGAUGCCAGGAUCAGAGAAACCAAGUGCAGUGGUAUUUUCUUUGACAGUGCUCCAUAUCUUUGGCAAGGGAAAGGAUUGCAGUAUCUGUAGGCUCCUGGUCAUUUCAAAUAGUUUUUGUCAGGAAAAAUAUAUAGGAGUUUUGAGGCUUAUAGGACAUUGAGGACUUUCUCUGUUCCUUCCCUGUGUGUGUAGGUUACCAAGGCAGCUGCACCGUGCAAAAGUAUUGCUGUUCUCCAGGUUCUCAGCUGGCUCUUCCGCAGUGGUGCUGGAUUCUCCUUUGUCGGCUCAGUCGGAGUUGAUUAAAUGGAUCACUUCUAAAAUUUUUAGAUACCCACAAGCUCAGAACUUGUCCUUUCUCACCCCCCAGUGGAAGCGAGUGGCAGUACAGCCUGCCUUUCCUCUGCAUCCCUGCUGUGCCUUGCAGGGAAGUGCCAAUAAAGGCAGCCUUUUCCUUCUAUU